UGCUUUUGCUGUGGAAGGCGAAGGUAGAAACUUAUAGGACUUGUCUUCACAACCGGAACUGUUCUCUCACUUAGUGUCGGCAGCCGGUGGAUGGGUGAAGAAUACAAAUUACGCGCUUUCUGACAAAGCUGCCCGUAAUUUCCGCAAAGCUGCCAGUUGCAUGUGACAAGUGCUGACUAGGCUGAGAGAGACAGAUGGUUGGAAUCGGCACUUCGACAGACUGCCCGUGAUUUUCGCAGAGCUGAGUUUGCGUGUGACGGGUGACAACACGUCUGGACGAAUUGAUCUUGCGAAAUCCGGGGUUCGGCUCGUGGUUUCUGAGCAAGCCCAAUUUUUAAGAAAUGAAACGCCUCUUUUGAGAAAA
rnacentral:lncRNA from 1 species